AGGGACGAAGUGAUAAUUUGAUUAGUGGUUUGACACAGCCUUUGCUCAUAGAGACAAAGGAGUGGCAAGUUGACAAUGCAGAGGAUAAUGAUGGUUGCUGGUCCAUACAGAUUCCUCAUGCCACAUGUGAAGGUCGGCAAAGGAACUGAUGGCUUGUAUUUCAGUGAUCUACUGUUGGCUUACCAUUUGUUUUUAUAGAGGGUCGUGCAACUUGAUUGAAGAUGGGAAGAUGAUGAGAACCGCCUGAUGAAGACGCCGCUGAGAACCAGCGCCAGCGUCUCCCAGCCAGCGCCUGUGACUGGAAUUGACGGCCAGCCAGUUUAAUUAGCGAUGGGGCCUGUAUAUAAGCAAUGAAAAAGGCGCGAGGGCGAGCAGCAAAACGCAGAACUGGCGCCAGAAAAGUUGUUGAGAAGCGAGCGGGCGGGAAAAAGUUGUUGCGAUCACGCAUAUAGAAAUCGCGUUUGUGGAAAAACGGAUAAAACUCGUUUUUCUAUAAGCCCGAAUCUUGGGUUGUACAGUUCCAGGUUUCCUAUAAACGUGGAUUUGUUAUAGUAGCCAAACGAGGUU